rnacentral:SRP_RNA from 10 species
GCCUGGUGUGGUGGAGUGUGCCUGUAUUCCCAGCUACUUGGGAGGCUGAGGUGGGAGGAUCCCUUGAGCCCAGGAGUUCUGGGCUGUAGUGUGCUAUGCCAGUCAGGUGUCUGCACUAAAUUUAGCAUCCACUUCCUGGGAGUGGGGGACCACCAGGUUGCUUAAGGAGGGGUUAACCAGCUCAGGUCAGAGACUGAGCAGGUCAAAACUCCCAUGCUGAUGAGUAGUGGCAUCACGCCUGUGAACAGCCACUGCACUUCAGCCUGGGCAACAUAGUGAGACCCUGUCUC